AUUCCGUGCUGUGGGCAUUUCCUCAACAUCUCCUUAUACCUUUUCCCAUGUAUCGUAUAAGGAUUCAGAUUCCAAUUGGAGGAAGGAAGUGAUGUCACUUCUGAGUUU